UCGGACGAUGAAGCCCUUCGGGGUGGAUUAGUGGCGAACGGGUGAGUAACACGUGAGCAACCUGCCCUUGACUCUGGGAUAAGCCUGGGAAACUGGGUCUAAUACCGGAUAGUACCUCCUGCCGCAUGGUGGGGGGUGGAAAGCCUUGUGCGGUCUUGGAUGGGCUCGCGGCCUAUCAGCUUGUUGGUGGGGUGAUGGCCUACCAAGGCGACGACGGGUAGCCGGCCUGAGAGGGUGACCGGCCACACUGGGACUGAGACACGGCCCAGACUCCUACGGGAGGCAGCAGUGGGGAAUAUUGCACAAUGGGCGGAAGCCUGAUGCAGCGACGCCGCGUGGGGGAUGACGGCCUUCGGGUUGUAAACCCCUUUCGGCAGGGAACAAGCCCCUUGGGGUGAGGGUACCUGCGGAAGAAGCGCCGGCUAACUACGUGCCAGCAGCCGCGGUAAUACGUAGGGCGCGAGCGUUAUCCGGAAUUAUUGGGCGUAAAGAGCUCGUAGGCGGUUUGUCGCGUCUGCUGUGAAAGCCCGGGGCUCAACCCCGGGUCUGCAGUGGGUACGGGCAGGCUGGAGUGCAGUAGGGGAGACUGGAAUUCCUGGUGUAGCGGUGAAAUGCGCAGAUAUCAGGAGGAACACCGAUGGCGAAGGCAGGUCUCUGGGCUGUAACUGACGCUGAGGAGCGAAAGCAUGGGGAGCGAACAGGAUUAGAUACCCUGGUAGUCCAUGCCGUAAACGUUGGGCACUACGUGUGGGGGCCAUUCCACGGUUUCCGCGCCGCAGCUAACGCAUUAAGUGCCCCGCCUGGGGA
rnacentral:rRNA from 1 species